UCCCUGAGACCCUAACUUGUGAUAGCAAUCUCACAGGCUAGCUUCUCAGGUAU
rnacentral:pre_miRNA from 1 species